GAAAGGAGAAGAGUCUAGCGCGACUCUUAUGCUCCAAAAUGUUCCAGAUAUGCAUCUUCAGAAUAUUUUAAUGUUAUCUUACAUUUUGAUGCAUCCAGAGAUAUAUCUCCGAAAAUAUGAGGCAUUUGUGGAAAUUUAUAUUGUGCGGUAGAAAUAUUUAGGGUGCCAUAAGAAACUCUCUUGUUUCUUUUUCUUCUUUUUUUUAAAUUGUACAAACCAAAGCCCAUAUUUAUAAUUAACAAAUAGUACAUAAAUUGAAAUCAUCUUCAUUCACAACCUCAUUCAUUUCUCAUUUUUUACCUUCAAUAUUUUCACUUUUCUUUUUCUUCUCUUAAUCAAAUUUCUCAUGCUUUUUU
rnacentral:lncRNA from 1 species